UUCGCCCUUAGAGUUUGAUCCUGGCUCAAGACGAACGCUGGCGGCGUGCCUAACACAUGCAAGUCGAGCGAGAAAGUUUCCUUCGGGAGAUGAGUACAGCGGCGGACGGGUGAGUAACACGUGAACAACCUGCCCUUGAGACAGGGAUAACAGCGGGAAACCGUUGCUAAUACCUGAUAAUCUAAUUUUAUCGCAUGAUGGGAUUAGGAAAGGAUUAAUCGCUCAAGGAUGGGUUCGCGUCCCAUUAGCUAGUUGGUGGGGUAAAGGCCUACCAAGGCGACGAUGGGUAGCCGGCCUGAGAGGGUGUCCGGCCACACUGGAACUGAGACACGGUCCAGACUCCUACGGGAGGCAGCAGUGGGGAAUUUUGCGCAAUGGGGGAAACCCUGACGCAGCGACGCCGCGUGAGCGAAGAAGGUUUUCGGAUCGUAAAGCUCUGUCACAGGGGAAGAUAAUGACGGUACUGUGCGAAUAAGUCCCGGCUAACUACGUGCCAGCAGCCGCGGUAACACGUAGGGGACGAGCGUUGUCCGGAAUUACUGGGCGUAAAGGGCGCGCAGGCUGCGUUACAAGUCAGCUGUUAAAUGCAUGGGCUUACCCCAUGAGUGCGGUUGAAACUGUAGUGCUAGAGUACUGUAGAGGCAAGCGGAAUUCCCAGUGUAGCGGUGAAAUGCGUAGAUAUCUGGAGGAACACCAGUGGCGAAGGCGGCCUCCUGGACCAUUCCUGACACUCAGACGCGAAAGCUAGGGUAGCAAACGGAAUUAGAGACUCCGGUAGUCCUAGCCCUAAACGAUGCAGACUAGGCGUCGGCGGUUUAAUCACCGUCGGUGUCCAAGCUAACGCGAUAAGUCUGCCGCCUGAGGACUACGGCCGCAAGGCUAAAACUCAAAGGAAUUGACGGGUCCCCGCACAAGCAGCGGAGCGUGUGGUUUAAUUCGAUGCUCCGCGAAGAACCUUACCUGGGUUUGACAUAACAGUGGUAGAGAAGUGAAAACGGAUCGACCCUUCGGGGAGCUGUUACAGGUGUUGCAUGCCUGUCGUCAGCUCGUGUCGUGAGAUGUUCGGUUAAGUCCGGCAACGAGCGCAACCCGUGCCGCCAGUUACCAUCAAGUAGUGUUGGGGACUCUGGCGGGACUGCCCGUGUCAAGCGGGAGGAAGGCGCGGAUGAUGUCAAGUCCGUAUGGCUCUUACACCUGGGGCUGCAAACGUGCUACAAUGGCAGGCACAGUGGGCAGCGACGCCGCGAGGCCGAGCAAACCCUUAAAACCUGCCCCAGUUCGGAUUGCAGCCUGCAACUCGGCUGCAUGAAGUCGGAAUCGCUAGUAAUCGUAGAUCAGAACGCUACGGUGAAUACGUUCUCGAGGUUUGCACACACCGCCCGUCA
rnacentral:rRNA from 1 species